UACAGAGGGUGCAAGCGUUGUUCGGAAUCAUUGGGCGUAAAGGGCGCGUAGGCGGCCAUGCGUGUCUCCCGUGAAAUCCCUCGGCUCAACCGAGGACGUGCGGAAGAAACUGCAAGGCUCGAGUCCGGGAAGAGGGGGGCGGAAUUCCCAGUGUAGCGGAUGAAAUGCGUAGAUAUUGGGAGGAACACCAGUGGCGAAGGCGGUCCCCUGGGCCGGAACUGACGCUGAGGCGCGAAAGCGUGGGUAGCAAACGGG
rnacentral:rRNA from 1 species